rnacentral:rRNA from 1 species
GAGCGAUCAAGUGCCUUAAGAGCAUCUGGUGGAUGCCUUGGCGCUGAGAGGCGAUGAAGGACGUGGUACGCUGCGAUAAGCCUUGGGGAGCUGCGAACGAGCUUUGAUCCGAGGAUCUCCGAAUGGGGAAACCCACCUUCAGCCACCGUAUCGUGGGUUCAUGGGAAACCAUGCAUCUGCGCUACGAUGGUUUACGAAGGUAUCAAAUCCUGAAUCCAUAGGGGUUUGAAGCGAACCCGGGGAACUGAAACAUCUCAGUACCCGGAGGAAAGGACAUCAACGAGACUCCGUCAGUAGUGGCGAGCGAACGCGGACCAGGCCAGCGCCUGGCAUGACGCUUACCGGAACGGUCUGGAAUGGCCGGCGCAAUGGGUGACAGCCCCGUACGGGACAAGCCAAUGCCAGGACACGAGUAAGGCGGGACACGUGAAAUCCUGUCUGAAGAUGGGGGGACCACCCUCCAAGCCUAAGUACUCCUCAGCGACCGAUAGCGAACCAGUACCGUGAGGGAAAGGUGAAAAGCACCCCGACGAGGGGAGUGAAACAGUUCCUGAAACCGGAUGCUUACAAACAGUGGGAGCCCAAGAUUCGUUCUGGGUGACUGCGUACCUUUUGUAUAAUGGGUCAGCGACUUAGAGUUACGAGCAAGCUUAAGCCGGUAGGCGAAGGCGCAGCGAAAGCGAGUCUGAACAGGGCGUUCAGUUCGUGGCUCUAGACCCGAAACCAGGUGAUCUAGCCAUGCGCAGGAUGAAGGUGCGGUAACACGCACUGGAGGUCCGAACCAGUGCCCGUUGAAAAGGUCUUGGAUGACGUGUGGUUAGGGGUGAAAGGCCAAUCAAACCUGGACAUAGCUGGUUCUCCGCGAAAGCUAUUUAGGUAGCGCCUCG